UACGGGGGGAGCAAGCGUUGUUCGGAUUUACUGGGCGUAAAGGGCGCGUAGGCGGUCAGCACAGUUGAGUUGUGAAAUCUCCGGGCUUAACUCGGAAAGGUCAACUGAUACUGUGCGACUAGAGUGCGGAAGGGGCAACUGGAAUUCUUGGUGUAGCGGUGAAAUGCGUAGAUAUCGAGAGGAACACCUGCGGCGAAGGCGGGUUGCUGGGCUGACACUGACGCUGAGGCGCGAAAGCCAGGGGAGCGAACGGG
rnacentral:rRNA from 1 species